CCUUCAGUCAGACCUAUCCAGAGCCCCUUCUUGGCAGAUGACUGCUUGCCCCACGUUAUCUCGUAACUUUACAUCAGGAGCCAAAAAUACCAUAGGCAGAACUCUCUGAAAAUGCAAGGAAGGUCCUACUUUCCUGAGACGAAUCUGAAUUCAGACCUUUCUUUCUGUGCUUACUUUCCCAAAUCUGUGACCUAUCUAACCCACCGUGUCUCUCACAUAGUCCCCAGGUUCCCACCCUGCACGGUGAUAGAAGAGGCAGAAUCUCCUUCCUAGGGACAUCAUCAGGGGUCUAUGGAUGAUAUUUGUAACGCACGUGAGCUGCUGCCCUGUGUAUCUGAGGUGCAAUUUUAAGGAUGGUGCAUUGAUAUGAAUGGGUAAACCAGACUUGAAUACAACAUUGCCAAUCAGACAAACCACAUCAAUUUUCAAACAACCAGUAACCAAAGUCACAACUCACCCUAGUAAUAAAGUGAAAUCAGACCCACAACGAAUGAAUGAGCAGCCACGUCAGUGUUUUUUGCUCUUCAGGUGAGCCAGGAAAACAGAAGAUAUUUGGAACCACAUUGGAUCAGCAUCUUGUUAGAGAUGUCUCAAGAUAUGAAGUUCUAAACUUGCUUUACUGUUGGUCCCCCAAGAGAUUCAACAGGGGCCAUGUAAGUGGAUCACAUCCAGUAUAAAAUAUGCGUACCUGUAUGUGCCUUUAGGCUCUUGUCACCACUUAGGUUUUCUCUGAGCCAGUCAGCUUUCUGUACCAGGCUUUCCCCUUCUGUUUUACUACUGUAACCAGUGAUAGUCACCAAACCACUGGUGGUUUUUGAAUAUUCAUUACAACAGGGAAGGAAUUCCGCCAUUCUGAUCUCUGUCCACCUGACUGUAGCCAUUCUCUGAUUGUAUUCUCUCUUAGAUACUGUCUAAAGUCUUGAACAUCUCGUCCUUUGGCUUUUUGGUGAUUUUUAAAUCAUUUCCUUGUACAGGUUUUUAUCAGUUGAAAAUUUUCAAAGCAUGUAAUUGGGUAAGACAGUUUGCCUCAAAAACGCCCAAAAGAUAAAGAAAGUGGAAUAACUACUAAUAACAGUUCCAAACUGGAAACUGGAGUUCUUAUUGAGAAUAAGUAGUAGAUGGAUUUUAUCCUCAACUUUUCUUUGCCAAAUCAUUCUCAAUAUACUCUAUCUAUAAACACACGUAUUUUACAGGCCAAUUGAGUGGCAAAUUAUGGUGAUUUAAUGGGUAACUUAAUUGUUUUCUGUACCUAAGUUCUGUCACAGAUUUUAACAACUGUACUAACUGUAUUUGCUGGGUAUUUACCUGGCUCUAGAGAACGCUGGUAAUAGAGAGUUUCAAAGCUGAAGUAAUCAGUCAGUUGUUCCUUAUUCACUGAUACAUUGAGUCGUUUUAUAUUUUCCUUCUUUUAUUAAAGUUUGUGGCAUUGUGCUCAGAUGAAAACAGUAUGUCAGAAAAGCUAAAUCCCUUCCCUCCCCACCUGCACCCAAUCUUAUGUCAUUUUAACCCAGAUCUUUUGAGGAUUUUAUCUUCCAUUUAGCUUGCAUAGACAGGAAGUGUUAAAAAUAUUUAGGAGGUCAGCUCUCCAAAUGUUUGAACUGUUUUCCCCUUAUCCUCAUGUCACCUGACAGUUUUGGCUGUUUUUCAUUACAACAAGGCAUUAGUUGUCAUUCCCCUGUCUUUACCUUCAACAUAAGAAUUGAGGUAAUAUUUGGCUACUGUCCCACUAACAGGAUUUCAAAAUAAAGGACGGGGCAUUGGGAAACUGUAGGAAAAUAGCAGAGACAACUUUUAUAUUAAUGUUUUAAAAAAAAACAAUAUGUCAUUCUGAUUAUUCCAGUAUAGAUUCAGGUUUUUAAGUAAAGGAAAGAUGUUGAUUCAAAGUAUAUUUUGACAGAUAUGUGCUAAUCAACUGUUGUUGUUGAGGAGAUAGUUGACCAAAAAAAAUGACAAAUAUAAUUCUUGCAACUGUGCUUUUACAAAGUCUCGUUGAACUAGAUUGGCAGUAUAAAUUGCCAGAUAUU